AGUGUGAAACUCAAAGGAAUUGACGGGGGCCCGCACAAGCGGUGGAGUAUGUGGUUUAAUUCGAUGCAACGCGAAGAACCUUACCAGGGUUUGACAUCCUGCGAACCUCUUAGAAAUUUGAGGGUGCCUUCGGGAAUGCAGUGACAGGUGGUGCAUGGCUGUCGUCAGCUCGUGUCGUGAGAUGUUGGGUUAAGUCCCGCAACGAGCGCAACCCACGUUUUUAGUUGCCAGCAUUUAGUUGGGCACUCUAGAAAGACCGCCGGUGAUAAACCGGAGGAAGGUGUGGAUGACGUCAAGUCAUCAUGCCCCUUACACCCUGGGCUACACACGUACUACAAUGCUACGGACAAAGGGCAGCAAACUCGCGAGAGCUAGCAAAUCCCAUAAACCGUGGCUCAGUUCAGAUCGUAGGCUGCAACUCGCCUACGUGAAGUAGGAAUCGCUAGUAAUCGCAGGUCAGCAUACUGCGGUGAAUACGUUCCCGGGCCUUGUACACACCGCCCGUCACACCAUGGAAGUUGGCCAUGCCCGAAGUCGUUACUCCAACCCUUGUGGAGGAGGACGCCGAAGGUGGGGCUAAUGACUGGGGUGAAGUCAUAACAAGGUAACC
rnacentral:rRNA from 1 species